GACGAACGCUGGCGGCGUGCUUAACACAUGCAAGUCGAACGGAAAGGCACUGCUUUUGUGGGGUGCUCGAGUGGCGAACGGGUGAGUAAAACGUGAGUAACCUGCCCUUGACUUUGGGAUAACUUGAGGAAACUGGGGCUAAUACCGGAUAGGAGGUCAUGCUGCAUGGUGGGGGUUGGAAAGUUUCGGCGGUUGGGGAUGGACUCGCGGCUUAUCAGCUUGUUGGUGGGGUAGUGGCUUACCAAGGCUUUGACGGGUAGCCGGCCUGAGAGGGUGACCGGCCACAUUGGGACUGAGAUACGGCCCAGACUCCUACGGGAGGCAGCAGUGGGGAAUAUUGCACAAUGGGCGGAAGCCUGAUGCAGCAACGCCGCGUGCGGGAUGACGGCCUUCGGGUUGUAAACCGCUUUCGCCUGUGACGAAGCGUGAGUGACGGUAAUGGGUAAAGAAGCACCGGCUAACUACGUG
rnacentral:rRNA from 1 species